GGCCAAUUUUAAUGAGAUAAAUUCGCGUAAAAAAAGAUAUUGAUUUGUUACAAUCGUGUGGUGUUCGAAAAUCUGAGAGAAAACGGGAAGAGAAGAUGGAUUGACGGGAAGAGAAAAUCGUGUGGUGUUCGAAAAGAAAUCGUGUGAUGUUUGCUGUGAAUCUGCCCAAAUGAGAAAGAGAGAAAGAAGAUAGAAGAAAGAGUUUGAGCGUGAGCAUCAAAGUCAAGGAGGGCUAAUUUUGGAAGGCAAUUUUAUUUCUUGAUGGAGUGGAAAAUAAACUAGGGUUGAAAGGGAGAUAAGUUUCCAGAAAUAAGUUGGUAUACACUCUUGGGCCCUUGUCGGGCCGACGUAUUUUGCGGGCUUUCUUACAAAAGUUGAAAGUGUAUCAAAGCAUGGAAAAAACAAGUAAAUGGGCUUGUUUCUUGGAUUUUCUGGGCUAUCAAACAUGCCCUAAAUAUAAAUAGCCCAAAACUCAAAGUGAGAGAAUUAAAUAUGGUAAUGCUACUUCUUUCCAGAAACACGCGUACACCACUUCCCAUUCAUAUCAUCACCACCAAAUUGAAACACAUACACAAAUCCUGUUGGCCCUCAAAAAUCACCACACAAAAUUGAACAAAAAAUUGAGCUCUCGCCAACCUCUCAACCGUCGCCGCGGCAGCCCCAAUUCCAUUCGCCUCGAUCAACCUAAGUUCUUAAUUUGAUUUUGAGAAUUAAAUUUCGAUUCAUUAUUUGGAUGGUUCGAGUUAUCAAUUUGAUUUGUUACAGAUUAGGUGUUUUACUUGUAUCGACUACAUGACAUGCGAUUGAAGGAAGCACUUGACGUUGGGGUGGAAGAAAUUAUACCUGCUGUUGGUGACAGGGCAAAGAUUGUAUUUUCAACACUCCUUCACUCACGUUUCUGGUAGGAACAAAACUGAAUUAAAAAGGAUGGAACUUUCGGCUCAAGGCAAAAGGAAUUUCCAUUUGGACUCACACUAAAACGGAUUUAUAUUAAUUAAUUUGGGCUCAAGAUCCAUUUAAAUUGUAUAGCCCACCAUUUAUAUUUCAUAAGAUUGGACUUGUAUUAUUUAAUUUAUCAGAUACAUCACGGAAUUGGAUCCAAUAAUUAUCCCGCGGGAAAA